AUACUCUGGGUUCUUUCCAAAUCAUAUACAUCUUUUGCUUUUUACUAAAGCUUUCCAUGAAGAGGAACAACUCUGAGUCUUAAGCCAUUUUUUAAAAAAAAUGUAUUUGG
rnacentral:snRNA from 1 species